UGGUCUCUUGCUUUUUCAGAAAUGCU
rnacentral:piRNA from 1 species